GCCCCCAUAGCCCAAUGGCAGAGGCAGCCGACUUAAAAUCGGUCCAGUGUCGGUUCGAGUCCGACUGGGGGCACCC
rnacentral:tRNA from 2 species